GAGCGGUAGUUCAGUUGGUUAGAAUACCGGCCUGUCACGCCGGGGGUCGCGGGUUCGAGUCCCGUCCGUUCC
rnacentral:tRNA from 1 species